GGCCUCCUUGUGCUUACCACAGGCUGUGUUCCUACACUGACUGUAUGGAAACAGAGUAAACCUACCCUGUGUACUCCUCAGCCUAGGCCACCGUGCCUGGUCUGUAUUGUGAAUGGGGAAAAAAAG
ensembl:snoRNA LOC120095430 small nucleolar RNA SNORA51